GACUGAGCAUCCAAUUGAGCUUGAUGACUUGACACAGUCACUUGAAGACUCUUAUAAUCGUGCAGUGAUGUGCUUAAAACUUUUGUGAAAUUUCAAUGCGGUCCAAGUGCAGCGAUAUGCCGGAAGAGAGAGCCUAAGCAGAGGAAGUAUAGGGAGAGGGACGAGUCUAAGCAGUACUAGUACAGAGAGGAGAUGGAGGAAUCUAAGCAUAAAUAGGUUGGAGGGCAUGGACAUGGAUGAGGCUAGGGUGAGUACAGGGAGAAGUGGAAUCAAAGGGAGUCUAAGCAUAAAUAGGAUGGAGGACAUGUACAUGGAGGAGGGCAGUGGGAGUACAGGGAGGAGGGGGAGAAGUGGAAGCAGCAGAAGCGGAGGGAGCAGUGGAAGCAGCAGAAGAGGGAGGAGCGGGAGCAGUGGAAGCAGCAGGAAUGGCAGCGGGGAAGAGGAAGUGGGGGAAGCAGUGAGAGGAAGUUUUCAAGAUAUUUGUUUGGGGGCGUUCUUGGUGUGCCUUUUUUGUGCAUUGUGUUUUAGCCUUUCUCUGCUUAAUAACAAGGAAACAAGUCGAUAAACAGAUGGGUUAUGGAUGCUUCUUUCAUUUUUUGAUCAGCAUGGGAUGGUAAACGGUGCCGUUCAAACUUGUAAGGAGAUUUUCCAUAGAUUUGAUAAGUAUCUCAACUUCUGUAAUUCAAUCAUCUCUGAAAAUUCUGAUCCCGGUGCUUGUGGUUGGGCAUAUGGUAUGAAAAUAUUUGAUCUCAAAGAGUGGAAGAAGAGAAACAUCAUGGGAAUAUAUCACCGAUAGCAGGAAAUUAACGAGGAUAGGACAUUGUGGAUAGUCGGUGUCUUACCCCCUGGAUUGGUCACUUUCUACAAUCUGACUAAAUAGUUCGAUCAGAGGUGGCAUGCGUUUACACUCGGCUAUGAUCCAGCACUCAACCGGACAGAAAUGGACAAUGCAGCAGUCAUUCAUUACAAUGGAAACUGUAAACCAUGGUUGGAUUUGGCAGUCUCCAACUAUUUUGUAAAUCUAUGAUCAGUCUUGAAGGGGAACAAUGCAGCGGUGUAUGCUUAAUAAACCAAUGAAAGAGAAGGAACUUUGCAAUGCAAUUACAUUUCAACCUGACAUUCCUGAGAAUUGCCGACACGGUCUUGCGGGUUAGAGAACUGUCCUCCAAUGGAAGAUGGCAUGAAGUGUUAGUCCACUUUAACGAAGCGAAGUGAGCAGGAAUUGAAAUCACUGAGCCUUCCAUGAUUAAUUCUGUCAUCAAAGCGUCUUUCAAAGCUAUCUGAUAAACAAGGGAAGUCCAUCCAUGCUUGUGUGCUCAACCAGGGUCUCAAUACAUUCUCUUCCAUCAGCAAUUCCAUCAUGGAUUCGUACAUGAAGUGCAGGGACUUGGAAUCCGCGUUGGGCGCCUUCCGGUCAAUGCAAAGCAGGGAUUCCGUGUCGCAGAAUGUGCUCACUCAUAGGUUUCUUCAUCAGGGAAAUUUGGGAUGAAGGUUGUCAUGAUUUCGGCGAGCCCGAGUUGAUGGAUUCGAACCCAAUGUCUCCACUUUGGUACUGGUUCUCCAGGCGCAUAUGUGGAUGUUGAUAUGGAGCAAGCAGAUGGACUUUCAUACACUCUUGAAGUUCAUCAACGAGUGGAGUGGGCACAUUGAUCUCGAUUCAAUCUUAGGAAUGCAGAGACAUUAUGCAAAUGUGCGGGGAUAGUUUGUUCAAAACAGAGAUGAACAUGAAAAGGCACAAGGUUUCAGGAUGUGCCCGAACAAUAUAUGAUGAAGUAUGAUUACCUGACUUAAUGUGAAAACAUUGGAUCGGCAUUUAAAUUAGGGGGAAAAUCUCUCCUUCCCCUGCCAGUGAGGGGAAUAAUUGAGGCAAUUCCUGAUGAAUGAAGACAUGAAGCAAAAUGAAAUUGAUUCAACACAAGAAGGGUGUAUCGUUCCUAAAUUAGUCCAAUUCAAGUUUGAAAUGCAAGUAACAUGUCCCAUCUCUUGUAGGACAAGGCGCACAUCAACCGCAGGAGCGACGCCUUCUACCAAGUUGGCAUGCUAAGGCCCAACCAUCCAUUUUGUUGUAAAGGAUUUAUAUCGUUCGUAAAAUGAUUUCUAGUCAAGUGUGAAAAUAACAUGCCCAGUCUUCUAAACGUCUCUUUGAGCAGAGCAUUUGAAAAGAGCAAGAAUUGAACUUUGUGGAUUAUCAUAUGCAGUAAAGAAAUGUUUUUCAUAAAUAAAAUCAAGGCAUAGAGGCAUUUUUCAAGCAAUCCUGUCACUUUAGGUGAUUUAUGUCAUGCAUAUCAUGCAUAUAUCCUUCAUAAUAUUUUCCUAACAUGUGUCGUCGUCAUUCUUGAUAGGAAAUGUCAAUACCCGAAAAACAAAAACACGUGAAGGGUAAAUUGUAUCGAUUCUAAUUGCUGAUUUUGAUACUGUUUCUAACGCGAUUCUCUUUUCCUUUGAUUUGGAUUACAUCAAACACUUGUAAGAGGUGUGGUACCAUUCUGAUUAGUGGUUCUGUUAAUGGUUACUGAUGAUUAUAACACAAGCUUGUAGGAUUUUUUAGUAGGAAAUGACAAUGAUAGUAGAUGUUCCAAUUAAAAAAGCUAGCACAAAUCGAGAAAGGGAAACAAAUUACUUGUACUUUGAGCUGUUCACAAGGUGAUAUGCUUCUUUUUGGAUUUAUGAGGUUCCUGUGUUUCUCAUAACCAUGAGAAGAGAGAAAGGUUUUGGGGGGUGGUA